CGUUUAACUCCAUCGAAUUCAUAGAGAGGUAAGAAAUUUUCAUGGAUCCCUGUCAUGAUCCAUGAAAAUUUCUACCAAAGCAGCAAUGUUGUGUUACAUUUAAUAUUUUUCGUCAUUAUUCAGAUACGAUAUUCGAGCGAAGUCGCAAACUAUUUAGAAUUUACCCAUUUCCCCAUAAACAAUAAGAAGCGUGCAAUCAAGAUUUGAACGAAUUCACACACCCCUGGCCAAAGAUAAACAAACAAAUCAGAAAAGGAUUCGGAACGUGAAAAAUUGGCAUCCGUGGACAGAAAAAUAGACGCUUGAAAGUUGGCAACAUUUGUGCUGUCAAGUUCUUGCUUCCGUGAGAAGAAGAGUAAAAAAAAGAGUGGUGGUGGAAAAAACGGCUGCAACUUCCACGCUGAUCGGCUACGCCGAAGAUUUCGCUCCAUCACACGGUUCGGCAUUAGUGGCACUCGAAGGUGCUCAAAUUGGCCGCCGAAAAGGAAGCUAGCCGAAAAAAGCUGCCAGAAGACAUUCGUGGCACGCGAUUUCUUCGAGCGUGAGAGGGAGCCGGAAGCAAGGUAACGCUCACCGCCGGAACAUCGAGCCAGCACCCGGUUACGGUGUGACCUGUUUGCCAAGCCAUUAGCAAACACGGAGAAAAGGGGUCAAAGCGUGAGUAGCAAAUUUUCAUUGCAAUUAAACAUAACCUGAAUGGAAAAUUUAUCCUCUUCAGGACCCUUUUUUUGUUACGGAAGAUAUUGUU